AUUGAACGCUGGCGGCAGGCCUAACACAUGCAAGUCGAACGAGUGGCGGACGGGUGAGUAAUGUCUGGGAAACUGCCCGAUGGAGGGGGAUAACUACUGGAAACGGUAGCUAAUACCGCAUACCAUCGGAUGUGCCCAGAUGGGAUUAGCUAGUAGGGGGGGUAACGGCUCACCUAGGCGACGAUCCCAAGCUGGUCUGAUAGGAUGACCAGCCACACGGUAACUGAGACACGUCCCGUACUCCUACGGGAGGCAGCAGUGGGGAAUAUUGCACAAUGGGCGCAAGCCUGAUGCAGCCAUGCGGCGUGAGUGAAGAAGGCCUUCGGGUUGUAAAGCACUUUCAGCGAGGAGGCGUUACUCGCAGAAGAAGCACCGGCUAACUCCGUGCCAGCAGCCGCGGUAAUAC
rnacentral:rRNA from 1 species